rnacentral:misc_RNA from 1 species
UCUCCGUUGGUGAACCAGCGGAGGGAUCAUUACCGAGCGAGGGCCCCCGGCCCGACCUCCAACCCUUUGUGUUUCUGACUGUGUUGCCUCGGGGGCGACCCGGCCCUCCUGGGCGUCGGGGCCCCCGGUGGUCCAUCUCAACCCUGCAUCUGUGCGUCUGAGUAAAUAUUUGAAUCAAUCAAAACUUUCAACAACGGAUCUCUUGGUUCUGGCAUCGAUGAAGAACGCAGC